GACGAACGCUGGCGGCGUGCCUAAUACAUGCAAGUCGAGCGAAUCAAUAGGAGCUUGCUCCUGUUGGUUAGCGGCGGACGGGUGAGUAACACGUGGACAACCUGCCUGUAAGACUGGGAUAACUUCGGGAAACCGGCGCUAAUACCGGAUAAUCCUUUUCCACUCAUGUGGGAAAGCUGAAAGUCGGUUUCGUCUGACACUUACAGAUGGGCCCGCGGCGCAUUAGCUAGUUGGUGAGGUAACGGCUCACCAAGGCGACGAUGCGUAGCCGACCGGAGAGGGUGAUCGGCCACACUGGGACUGAGACACGGCCCAGACUCCUACGGGAGGCAGCAGUAGGGAAUCUUCCGCAAUGGACGAAAGUCUGACGGAGCAACGCCGCGUGAGCGAUGAAGGCCUUCGGGUCGUAAAGCUCUGUUGUUAGGGAAGAAUAAGUAUCGGAGUAACUGCCGGUACCUUGACGGUACCUAACCAGAAAGCCACGGCUAACUACGUGCCAGCAGCCGCCGUAA
rnacentral:rRNA from 1 species